CAUUGUUGAGAUCAAUUAGAAAUUUGUAAUGAUGCGAGUAAUUAUUUGUGUGUUGAGAUGUAUUAGAUGUUGGUGAGGGGUGGUGGGAGGCGGAGGAGAACGGAGGCAUAAUGAAAGAAAGAUGAUAAGUUAGGUUAAAAGGGGGUUGCGGGUGAUGUGGAGAUCUAGAAAGAGGGGGGAGAGGCCACCGCUAAAGGUGGGUGGGGGUGCGGGGGAGGCUAACGUGCGCGGAGGGCGUAAUAAUGUUGACCGGGUGCUGGCUUUGCUUUGUUGCGUUCGGCGCCCACCGCCCAAAAAGCGUCAGCUGGCAGAGGAGUUAAAAAUAAUUGGUAUGGGCCGUUUGACGUUUCUUGUGGGCGGAGCUAGACUUGGCGGCGAUCCACUCUCCUCUUUAAUAUAGCUUCGAUAUUGUCGCCUGUGAUCUCUUCGUUUUUGUUAAUCUCCUUUUCUUCUUUAAUAUAUUUGCUUUGAGCUUAGUCUUUCAAUUGCACGGCAUUGAAGUUUCUUAGCCCCUUCGAUUGCUUGAAUGGGAGAAUUGAUCUUUCUCACCAUAAUUUAAAUACAUUCUUUGGUUGUUUGAAGGCGUCAGCUGGCAGAGGAGUUAAAAUUAAAAAUAAAUUUGUAUGGGCCGUUUGACGUUUCUUGUGGGCGGAGCUAGACUUGGCGGCGAUCCACUCUCCUCUUUAAUAUAGGUGAUUAAUUAACUUCGAUAUUGUCGCGUCAACUCUUCGUUUUUUGUUAAUCUCUUUUUCUUCUUUAAUAUUGGCUUUGAGCUUAGUCUUUCAAUUGCACGGCAUUGAAGUUUCUUAGCCCCUUGGGGUGCUUGAAUAGGAGAAUUGAUCUUUCUCAUUAAAUUCACCACAACUAAAUACUCACAUUCUUUGAUUGUUU
rnacentral:lncRNA from 1 species